CUUUUGAAUGCAUCAUUUAAUUUCUUUGAAAUUUUAACAGUUACUAGUUCAAACAUAAGACUAUCAAAAAAUAUUAAUGCCCACUAGAUAGCACUUAUAGUGUAUGUAAUAGAAAUUCAAUCUGAUUAUAUAUGAGAUAUAUUCUUUAAUACAAACAUCAUAAAGCACAUUUUUACAUGAAUGCAAGCAGAAGGAAUAAUAAGUAUCUUCAUUUGAUAAAUUUAUUAAAUCAACUAAUACAAAUAGAUUGAAAUGUAUUUCCACUGGCAAUGUAUGCAUGCAUAAAGCUGUACCAAACAGGUCUACCAAAUUGCUGUUGACACGACAGAAAUUAUUCAAUCAAAUUGUUACGAGAGAAUUUAUACUCUGUCACUUGUCGUUGGCAUGUUUGCAAAUGAAUCAACGAAAUGAAUGUAAUGUAUAUAAUGAGAUCCAAUCAGUAUCAACUACCUUGUUUCAAGUUUCGACGUCAUUCAUUACUUC
rnacentral:lncRNA from 1 species